ACUAAAUCAGAUUAAAAUCAAAGUGCAAAUUAAAAGAGGAUUAGGUUUUUUACAUGUGACGCUUCCACUUCGUUUAACACUCUCAGACUCAUCUCUUUCAAACGGCAACAACGACGGCUCAAGCUUCGUCUCCGAUGAACUCUUCUCCGGUCACGCUCCACCGUAGGCACCUUCCGGCCACCACGAACUCUCCUUCUCUGCUCUCUCGAUCUCAUCUCCGAUUCAUCUCUCAAACACAUCACCUCCAUCUCGGUUUUCACUCUCUCGGUCUAUUCCUCUCAAUCUCGCCUUCAAUUCGACUCAACUCUCACUCUCCUCUUCGUCUACGAUAAAGGUUGUUGAUGCACAGAGGCAGUGAUGAUGAUGAACGCGUCGCGAAGCGAACCAAAGCUAACCGUUACAUGGUGAAUCACGUUUGUUGAUGGAGAACCAAGGUGAUUGUAGAAGAGGAAGCGUUUCUGUUAGGUGAAUUCUUCGGAGGUCGCGAUAUCAGAGAAGCCGAUGAUUUGGUGAUGAAGAUCGAAACCGUUGAAGGUCUAACGACGAGUACAUGUUUGAAUUUGUUUGUAGUUCGAUGGAGCAGAUGAAGAUGCAAAUCGCAAUGAAGGUUUGUCGAAGAUAACACAAAUGCGGAUCGAUGAUUGAGACUGUGAAGAUUGACGAUGACGGUACGAUUUCUGUCACAGAUGUUCUUGGUGAUUCAAUGAAGAUGAUGAAGGUUGAUGAAUUGAAGAAUUCUGUUGAUGGUGAAUCUAUGUGGAUUGAAGGUUCUGAGAAGUGGUUGAUGAAGACGGAGAUUUUAGUUGAUUGAUUUUCUGUGAAUUUGUGAAGAUUGAAUUGGUGGACGAAGAUGCAAAGGAGAUAGAGAGAAUUUUGAUGGCGAUGAAUCUUGAAGAAUAUGGAAUCAGGUUCAGAGGAUCAAGAUCAAAUUCAGAGGGAAGCUUUAAGAGUCUAGUUCCGAGAGAGUUUGUUACAGUGCAGGGUGAGUUGAAUUCGUUGCUGCAGAAUUUGCGGUUCAGCCGCGGUUCGGUUUAUUUUUGGAAACAGCUUGAAGUUGCAAGGAGUUUAAGGCGUAAAUGGCUUGCAAUUCUUCUAUCACUUGGGCAUUUGAAUUGUGGGCAUUCUGUUACAACUUGUGCGAACUAUUUUUGCGUAAUUUUUGAAAACGAACUUUGUAUGAAAAUCUGGAUUCUUGAACAUGUAAUGGUGAAAUUGGAUUUUGUUAUGUAAUGGUAUCAGUUUCUUUUUGUAAUGAAUCUAUUUUGUAUUGGAUAUUUGUGGAUGUAUGAACUUGGCAAUACGAAAAGUGGUGAUGUAUGAGCACACGAGUAGAGAGCCGAGUCCAAGCAUAGGCCUUUGAUUAGACCUAUUUCACUUUUUUUUCACCAUUACAACUUUGAACCUAAAGGAUGAAUGAAUUUCAAGUAUUCCAUUGUAAUCCUAUUUUCCAAAUUGGCAUGCUUAAGUCUUGAUCCACUCUUUGAAUUAUAAUGAACCCAAAAUUCUUGCAUUAAAAGUGACAAACACAAACUUUGAUCGUUACUUCACUUCCUUAUGCCAUGAUUCACAUUCGAACUCCAAUCCAACAUAACAAUAACGCCUUAAAGAAUCCUUGGAGAAGGUGAGGAUCGAGGCACAUAAGAACAUCUCGACAUGAAAUCGAAUGAAUCUCAGUCGCAUUAACGAUUGCGGCCACCAUAUAUAAGAAACUCUUUAAUAUUUUUCUUGAUUUUUAAGCGUUCAAAUAAACGUCCUUGAUAACUUAUAGCACG